rnacentral:lncRNA from 1 species
CGAGGGUGCUCCACUGUGCCAGGAGGCUGCAGGCUGGAAAUCCCGAGAAGGUUCUCCACUUUCGCUUUAACAUCUUCAUCAAAUCCUCCUGAAAUCACAAAUGAGCGGGGCGGUUGGAGGGGCCUCUGGAGGAGGGGAGGGGGCUACAUUGGGACCUGCAGGCCUAGGUACUGGGGCAGUGGGCGGGCGGCAAUGGAGAGCCACUGGCCAGGCCCAGCCCCGCGUGUGCCGGCCCCAAGGGGACCUGGGGGCAAAUGGGCCUGCUGCUUCUCUUUAAACACGUGAAAUACGUUCCUUAUUUUAAAAAUCAGAAAACAGAAGUAAGACUGUGUUGCCAGCAGCAACACCCGGACAGCAAGUGGCUCUUCCUGCUGGGCGCAGCCCGACCCACACAGGUGUCCAGGGCUCACGCAGAGUUUGCCACUGUGUUUUACACAAUCGAUGGAAUAUUCUAGAGCACCCGAAACAAACCCAUGAGGCCUGCAGGCACCAGCGUGGACGAAUCUCCGACUUGGUGUUCAUGGAAAUGCUUGC